CCCGAGACCUCAGGCCCCCGCCCCCACCUCGCUCCUCCGGCGCGGCCCCGCCCGCCGCGCCCGCCUCGAAGUCGUCCAGGCGUCGCAGGAGGUCCUGGCGCCGCAGGGAGACGAGCAGCUUGCGGAGCAGCACGGUGUUCUCGCGGCUCAUCUCGGUCUGCUCCAGCAGCACGUUGAAGAGGUCCAGGCCACUCUGCACGAGCUCCAGCUUUCUCUUGCCCACGCGGCUUUGACACAGGAACUUGAGCUCAGUCAGCUCGCUGCUCGACAGGCUGGCCGACACCGAGUGCAGCAGCACCAGGAACGGGUCCAUGGCGGCGGGCGCGGCGGGGCCCGGCCCUCCUCUGGCUUCCCCCGGACCGGCCCGCCGCCCGCUCUCUGGCCCGCCUCCUCUAGCGCCCUGCGCCCCUCGGCCUACCGGCGGAGGUUCCCACUUCCAGCGUCUGAUGCCCCCCUCACCGGAAGUCUCCCUUGGGGCCGCUUUCUCUCGCGAGAACUCCCGGAACUCGCGCAUGCUCCCCGAGUCCAACAGUAGCCAUUUCCGCCCGGGGGUGGGGGCGUGGCUUGCGGCCGCCGCCAGGAGGCGCACCAGACAUGCUGACGGCGGUGGGACCCCGACCUCUGCGCCUGCGCCCUGACGUCCUUCUCUCUGGCCCCUGGCAACCACUAAUUUACUUCUGUCUCUCUGGAUUUGACAGUUCUGGACAUUUCAUGUAAGUGGAACCAUACACUUUUGUGUGGCCUUUUGUGCCUGGCUUCUUUAACUGAGCGUAACAUCUUCAAGGUUCGUCCUUGUAGCCUGUGACAGUGCUUCUUUCCUUUUUAUGGGUCAGUAGUAUUCCAUUGUACGGAUGGACCACAUUUGUGUAUGCAGUCAUCAGUGGAUGGAUCUUUCAGUUUUCUCUGCUUUUUGGUCAUUAUGAAUAUAAUAAAUCCCCUACGUAGGAACCUUCAAGUUGCGAACUUUCAAAGAUGCGAACGUGGAACUUCCUAAUGAAGACCUGAUGGAAUUGGAGGCCCAGAGAAAGGACAAAGAGAGACAAGAGGAAGAACAAGUAACUGGACAACCAAAGAGAUUCAUGAUGCAGGAAAUGGCAAGGGGAUUUUCUUUUUCUUUUUCUUUUGCAGUACGCGGGCCUCUCACUGUUGUGGCCUCUCCUGUUGCGGAGCACAGGCUCCGGACGCGCAGGCUCAGCGACCAUGGCUCACGGGCCCAGCCGCUCCGCAGCAUGUGGGAUCUUCCCGGACCGGGGCAUGAACCCGUGUACCCUGCAUCGGCAGGCAGACUCUCAACCACUGCGCCACCAGGGAAGCCCAAGGGGAUUUUCUUUAUUUGAGAAGGCACUGUUAGUUUUUGAGGCACAGGACCCGAACGUACAUGAGGUACAUGAAGGUUGCAGCAGCCAUUCAGAAUGCAAUCCAGUGCUACCGUGUCGUCUAUGAUGGGCAAAAAAGAGCUACUACCCAGACAUCACUGGAUCAUUUUUUCAAGAGGGUAGAUAGAAUUGAAUCCAGCAAAGAACUAGAACCUGUGCCAUCAGCGUCAGGCAUGAGUGAAAUUGCAGCUUGCCCUCCGUCUCCUGCUGAAGAUCCUUCAGCUCUACCAUCUCCCACCUCCUCUCCUCCAGUCAGUAACUCUUCCUGCCUGUUCACUCGAUGCCAGCCCCUGGAUGCCAGCUGUUGUACUACUGUACUUUUCAAGAUAAUAACAGGAACAGGAUAAGCAGCUGGACUUUGUCUCCUGUGGAUGCUUCAAGGGAACGGGAACGGCAGAAACAGAGAGGGGCUGAGCCCUGCUGGCAUAAAAGACAAAGAGACCACACAGUUCUCAUUCUCGGGGCCAAGGAGACUCCCUCCCAGACUAUGCAUGUGCAGAAAGGUUAAAGGGAGGGGGCGCCAGACCAUAAUAUGUUCUGUUAACCUCUCAGAGACCCUUGCGCUGGAAUCCAUCUUGGCUAAAAGAUGCAUGUGCACACAGGGGAGGGCCCUGAGUCAGACCAGAUAUGGACUCAGAGCCAGACAAAGCAAGCUGAUUGGCCAAAGGAAACCUAGAAGAACUUCCCCCAUAUGGUUUAAACCACGCCCAAAAGCACACGCCUCUCUCUCUCUCUCUCAGCCUGCCUGUGCUUUCUGUUCUUCUCUCCUAAUAAACACUUUACUUGCCUCAAUACUUUUCAUCUCUUUGCUGAUUCUUUCUUCAAAGUAGAUGAGAGCCAGGGCCCUGCUCCUAGCCAAUAGUCCCUGGUGGUCUAGUGGUUAGAAUUCGGUGCUUUCACUGCU